CACUAAUACAUCAGUAAGCUUCAAAGCUUCGUACUAUGAAGUAGCAUCUUUACAAAAACUAGACACCAACAUUAACAAGAUAUUUAAGUCAACCAUUUAAAACAAAUUAUGAGACAUAAAUUUAUCUUCAAAACGACGUUGUUGUUUUUAAUAACGGCAAGCGUGGUUUUAUCGUUUGAUUCAACAUCAAAUCAGGAACAAAAUAACCAACAUAAAAUUCAGAAAAGAGCGUCACAAAAACCGGGAUUUUUUAAAACGUUAUUUUCAGUUAUCUAUGAGCAAUGGGCUGAUACAAAAGACACAGUUAACACAGUGUCGAAAAUGGUUAACGAAAAUAUUAUUGACGACAGGGAAGCUGCUGUAAGUA